UCUCCGUUGGUGAACCAGCGGAGGGAUCAUUACCGAGUUUACAACUCCCAAACCCAAUGUGAACGUUACCAAACUGUUGCCUCGGCGGGAUCUCUGCCCCGGGUGCGUCGCAGCCCCGGACCAAGGCGCCCGCCGGAGGACCAACCUAAAACUCUUAUUGUAUACCCCCUCGCGGGUUUUUUUAUAAUCUGAGCCUUCUCGGCGCCUCUCGUAGGCGUUUCGAAAAUGAAUCAAAACUUUCAACAACGGAUCUCUUGGUUCUG
rnacentral:misc_RNA from 1 species